rnacentral:rRNA from 1 species
UACGUAGGGGGCAAGCGUUGUCCGGAUUUAUUGGGCGUAAAGAGCGUGUAGGCGGCCUGACAGGUCUGCUGUGAAAACUCGAGGCUCAACCUCGAGAUGUCGGCGGAAACCGUCUGGCUAGAGUCCGGAAGAGGAGAGUGGAAUUCCCGGUGUAGCGGUGAAAUGCGCAGAUAUCAUUUGGAACGCCAAUGGUGAAAACAGCUGACUGGGAGUGUGCUGACGCUGAGACACGAAAGCCAGGGGAGCGAACGGG